UACACCAUUUGCAAAGAAAGAAUACACUCACGCAAAAGUUUCAUAAAGCAUCAAGUACGAUUCCAGAAUGACAAUUUUUAAGCUUGGUUCCAUCUACGCUAUUCUUCUCAUGGCAGCCACUAUUAAUUUGAUGUGGUUCUCCAAGAUGCAAGUAAUGGCUGCACGGGAUAUUGAUUAUGAUCUCUCUGAAAUGGGAAGGAGAUUACUCCCGCAACUUUAUACUUGUUUUAGAUCUUGCACAUCCGAUAGUGACUGCAGUGACUGCAUACUUUGCUGCCAUUGUAAUUACAUGACAUUCAAUACGUUCCAAUGUGGUCCUAGAACUGGAGUAUAGAGAGAACACUGUCGUCCAAUCGCAACAAUGUGCUCCAAAAUCGUGUAACACAUUUAUGAUAUCCUAUAAUUUCUAUAUUUCCUUCAUCAUUUCCUCUUUCCGCUAUUAUAUGUUGUACGAAUAAUGAAGAAUGUCAAGUGAUGACAUUCAAUUCAGGAAUAAGGAUAAAUUCAAAUCUCAUGUUGUCUUGGCGAGAUUAUAUGUACGGUUAUUAUAUAUUUACAAAUUUUAUUUACAGAUUUAUUCCU